rnacentral:rRNA from 1 species
ACGAACGCUGGCGGCGUGCCUAACACAUGCAAGUCGAACGGAGGUUUGGCUCGGUAGAACCUUAGUGGCGAACGGGUGAGUAACGCGUAGGCAACCGUGCCCCCCGGAUUGGGACAACACCCCGAAAGGGGUGCCUAAUACCGGAUACGAAGAUAGCACCGCAUGGUGAUAUUUUGAAAGAUGGCCUCUACAGGUAAGCUAGUCGCCGGGGGAUGGGCCUGCGUCCGAUUAGCUGGUUGGUGGGUAACGGCCCACCAAGGCGACGAUCGGUAGCCGGUCUGAGAGGAUGAACGGCCACAUUGGGACUGAGACACGGCCCAGACUCCUACGGGAGGCAGCAGUGGGGAAUCUUCCGCAAUGGGCGCAAGCCUGACGGAGCAACGCCGCGUGAGUGAGGAAAGUUUUUCGGAACGUAAAGCUCUGUUGUACAUGACGAACGUGCGAUCUGUCAACAACGGAUGGCAGUGACGGUAGUGUACGAGGAAGCCACGGCUAACUACGUGCCAGCCGCUGC